rnacentral:rRNA from 1 species
AUUGAACGCUGGCGGCAUGCCUUACACAUGCAAGUCGAACGGCAGCACGGGUGCUUGCACCUGGUGGCGAGUGGCGAACGGGUGAGUAAUACAUCGGAACAUGUCCUGUCGUGGGGGAUAGCCCGGCGAAAGCCGGAUUAAUACCGCAUACGAUCUACGGCUGAGAGCGGGGGACCUUCGGGCCUCGCGCUAUCGGGUUGGCCGAUGGCUGAUUAGCUAGUUGGUGGGGUAAAGGCCUACCAAGGCGACGAUCAGUAGCUGGUCUGAGAGGACGACCAGCCACACUGGGACUGAGACACGGCCCAGACUCCUACGGGAGGCAGCAGUGGGGAAUUUUGGACAAUGGGCGAAAGCCUGAUCCAGCAAUGCCGCGUGCGUGAAGAAGGCCUUCGGGUUGUAAAGCACUUUUGUCCGGAAAGAAAUCCUUGGCCCUAAUACGGUCGGGGGAUGACGGUACCGGAAGAAUAAGCACCGGCUAACUACGUG